AUUGAACGCUGGCGGCAGGCCUAACACAUGCAAGUCGAACGAGUGGCGGACGGGUGAGUAAUGUCUGGGAAACUGCCUGAUGGAGGGGGAUAACUACUGGAAACGGUAGCUAAUACCGCAUACCAUCAGAUGUGCCUACAUGGGUUUAGCUUGUUGGUGGGGUAACGGCUAACCAGGGCGACGAUCCCUAGCUGGUCUGAGAGGAUGACCAGCAACACUGGAAGUGCUGCACAGUCCAGAGUCCUACGGGAGGAAGCAGUGGGAACUAUUGCAAAAUGGGCGCAGGCGUGAUUGAGCCAUGGCGGGUGUAGGAAGAAGACCUUCGGGUUGUAAAGUACUUUACGCGGGGAGGCGUUGCCCGCAGAGAAGGCGCCAGCUAACUCCGUGCCAGCAGCCGCGGUAAUAC
rnacentral:rRNA from 1 species